rnacentral:rRNA from 1 species
GAUGAACGCUGGCGGCGUGCCUAAUACAUGCAAGUCGAGCGAACAGAUGAGGAGCUUGCUCCUCUGACGUUAGCGGCGGACGGGUGAGUAACACGUGGAUAACCUACUUAUAAGACUGGGAUAACUUCGGGAAACCGGAGCUAGUACCGGAUAAUAUAUUGAACCGGAUGGUUCAAUAGUGAAAGACGGUUUUGCUGUCACUUAUAGAUGGAUCCGCGCCGCAUUAGCUAGUUGGUAAGGUAACGGCUUACCAAGGCAACGAUGCGUAGCCGACCUGAGAGGGUGAUCAGCCACACUGGAACUGAGACACGGUCCAGACUCCUACGGGAGGCAGCAGUGGGGAAUCUUCCGCAAUGGGCGAAAGCCUGACGCAGCAACGCCGCGUGAGUGAUGAAGGUCUUCGGAUCGUAAAACUCUGUUAUUAGGGAAGAACAAAUGUAUGAGUAACUAUGCACGUCUUGACGGUACCUAAUCAGAAAGCCACGGCUAACUACGUG